UAGGUGUGUCGCUCUGAGCUCCGCUGAGAUACUCUCGCCCGCUGCGCUUCGCAGACUCGAGCUCUACGCUGUAACGACUGGAUGAGCGCUCCCGUGGCCCCAAUAAUCAGAGUGACUGCAUCUACUCAACCACGGACGUAUUUCAACCGUUGCUUCGGACACUUCAGAUGGUGUGACGAUUGCACCAUCAAAUUGCUUUUAUAAGCGUCACAAUUUCUGGUUCUGGACGAUUUCCUGAGGGAGAAGUUUAGCCGUCGAAGCCCGCAAAGGUGCUACACCUUUUCACUUAAUCUUCGCACUGAAAAUAUUUAUAUGAAACUAGUUCAGAAACGUAAAUUUCUAUCAAAUCUAUAUAUGUAUAUUGGUGGCUGCAGAAGUCUUUUCUAGUUAAAAUUCGCUAUAAGCUACUACAGCAAAAUUCCAACUUCACGAAUGUAUCGAUAGGUUCGCUUUAUUUUUGUAUGGGUGUCAUAAUCUGAACGGCAUCAAGGUCAUUCGAAAACUAUCCAUCAAGAACUAUAUGCACCAAAAUACAAAAGUCGCAACAGCAUUAAGACUUGCGUAUUUCAGUACAAUUUCAUCCUUCAUUGCUGAGAUUACAUUGUUUCUCACUGUAUCGACGUCUCUCCAAUAACGUCUCGUAAAUAACUUUUCUGUCCAACGUCUUGCCGAGAUUUUUCCACUCCCACCUGCCUUCUCGGAGACAGCGUCGUUAGUCAACGUGACAAUCGGGAGGCCAGCCCUGAACCUUUGCUUGUUCUCCAAACAGACGAGAUAUUGCUGUUGGGGCCACGCUUUUGUCCGCUGGUCGGACAAGUAUCAUACAGGUUCUUAUUGGACUACUAUUGGAAUAUAGAGGAAACUUUCCUUCUACCUUCAUAUCCGUGGAGAGUAGAGAAAUGUAAGAUUGGUACUACAGUUAAUACCGAAAUAAUAUAUUUUCUGAUCUAAACAGUUUUAAUGUGCAACAAUGUACUCAAUACCUGAUGACUUACAAAAGCAAGACGAGCGAGUUAUUUGAUCGCUACUAUGCCGACGGCACUUAUCAUUUUUGACCACGUGUUUCUGCUUAUAUUGUUCCUCAUCGCGCUCUUCUUCGGAGUGGUUGUCGUUGUGACAAAAGCCAUCAAUAACAGAAAGGUGUAAGUCAUUAACAAGAUGCGAAUAAAUCUAGAAUUUUUCGUUUAAUUACUGUGAACAGUGCAGCAUUUAACGAUAAAAACAUCUUUUAUUCAGUGUUCGGUAAUGUGCAAAAUUUAUUAGCGUUCAAAUGCUCUCUGAAUUUCUCAAAAUGUUUCAUUUCGCAACGACCGACUUGGCGUUCUUGGGGGUAGUGUUCGUGGCGGCCGUCGGUACGUUCCUGUACACCGUCAUAUUGCCACUACUGCAGCCGCUCAGGCAGACUCCCGCCACUCACGUCCUAACGAAAGAGAUCCCAGUGCCUGAAGAUGCUGUUGCCCCCAUCAUUGAUGUGUAGCAAUGUCUUAAUUAAGUGCUGAACUGGUCGGGGCUCUUGUUUUUUACAUACUAUGUUGGGAAAAAUCUCAUAUACUGCGCUACAUCUAUAAGGCGAGAGACUCCUGAGCGUAUUUAUUAUCAAUGCAUCGGAAUCAUACAAGGAAUCGAACUGCCAGAUAAAAUGCUUGUUGAAGCUUCACGUCGAGACCGAAGAUUUCAAGAAAACUUUUUACCCGAACUUCCUCCACACGCGCAAAUUUUACUUUCCAGCUUGAAUUCCAAUUCCUUGAGGGCAGUUUCCUACCGAAAUGAACAGAGAAGCAUGUGCUCAAGAUCAAACUUUGAUUUCAAAGGAACAGUCAACUCUUACGGCUGCAAGAAGGCAUUGUCUUUUGGGGCUCACGGAAGUCAUUGGCAGGAUUUGUUUGACUUGCCUUACGAACUGCAGAGAAAACUAGCCUUAAGCAAAGACCUGGAACUUCUGCAAUAUAAUUCUUACAAACUUUGAGUGAAUGUAGCGCUUCAUCCUCAGCAUUAAAUAUCUAAAAUCUUUGUGAAAUUACGAAGAAUGUUGAAACAUCCCGGUUUCUGGUCUUUAGAAGCGGAAGUUAGUACAAAAUCAAUUGUCCAUAUCGGAUAAAGUUUGUUAUUGUAAAGUAAUAUACAUCAGUUUAGUCUCAGUGCAAAUUUUACGGCAAUGGAAGUCUGUACACGGUGGUCCAAAAAAAGGCGAAAUAAAAUUUUGAAGCAGAAUAUUUUCUGGCUUAAGUUAGAUAGUGAAAUAAAUGGUUCAGUUUCGUACUCUUUGAGAACAUUUUCGUCAAUGGUACGCUCUAUAUAUCGUAUGCGACCAGGGCGUGGCGCGCAAUGAACAAUCUGCAAUUCAAGUGAAUUUGAAAUGACGCACUUUGUGUCGAUGCGUCUAUGUCUGCAAGAAAUCAAUACUCGAGUCUAUUCCUUGCGUCGUACACAGUCAUCGAUAUUGUAUAGCUUCAAUAUUGUCGUCGAGUUAAUAAUCGGCAUUAAAGUAAAACAUUAAUCUUCUAGGCAACUAUAGCUUCUUAUAAUCUGCGUAAACUUAGUAGCCAGUUACUAGUUAACUGUCCAUUUCUUUAACUUUAAUUGAAAUUAUAUGAUGACACUAUAUAUGAAAUGUAUAGCCAAUAUUUACCGGGUUUGAGGGAUUUAAGAUUCAGGACAAAAAUUGAUUCGAGAACUCAAUGUCGUCUGUGAACAUUGUUAUAAAAAAUUAAUAUUUAUCAUCGCAGAAAUUUUUCUGCAGUUUUACCCAUUGUAAUCGUAGGUUAUUACCGCGGCCAGGGCAGGAAACUAUCAAUUCUUAUACAGCAUCACAAAAAAACAUCUCGCAAUUCGAUUCGUUGACUACAGAGAACAGUCAUGAUUGACAGGCUAAGAACGUGUGAACUCUUGUUAGCUGUGCUACAUUUGCUAACGUUAGACAGCGGUCUAACUCAAUGAGUCUAACAAAUUAGUCGAUAGAAACCAAAAUUUAACACCAAUCAAUAAAUCUGGAACUUUACCGUUUGUAACUGUGCUAUUGAGAAUUUCGACUGCGCUUCCGGUUGUACUAACAUUAGUGUUGGGUUACGUAAAUCUCGCCAUGCGGGUUUCCAGUUGCCAUACCAAUAACGGAUGUGAACAAUUUUAAACAACGAUUUAGCGAAUAUUAUAAAGCCUGUGAACCUGAGAUGCGUAAAAGUUGUAUCCCCCACAUUGUAUCCCCUGAUGACAACAGUAGUUGUAUUUGAUUUUAGGAAACCUAAUGGUCUAAAUUGUUCGAUAAUUCCAGUAUUCGAAAGUCUAGCUGACUUGAACUGGCGGGAGCAAACUCUUUUCAAAAAAGCAUUAUGUAUUAAUUAAUUUGUGUAUGAUGCUGUAUCGGUAUAAUUGUUGUUUACUUGGUUGCGUAUAGAAUUACUAAUAACCAACUCAAUGCAGCUCAAGAAAUAUUGAUCGUACAUUUGGGUGUGACUUUUGUCCAGAAAACUGUCAAAUCUUCCAACUUAACCUGACAGAACAUAGAAGUGUGAUAGCAGUUAUUAAUGUUAUUGUAACCCUCGUUAAAAAACCUUUUGUGGGUACAAAGAUUUAGACACGGCGCACUUAUAAUAAUGUCGUAAAAUUAACUUCAAUGCAGUAUUCAUUCAUUUACCUUUUAUCAUUGGAAUACGUAAUAUUAAUAGAAAUGGGUGAAACGUUACUUAAUAAUCACUCCUUAAUGUUGUGGCAUUAGAAUCUCGGAUAUUUUAGCUGAACAAGAAAGAUUUACUGGAUUCACAAUUUUUAUAUAAUGGCAACAAUCGACUGAUAUCGUAACAUUGAAUUUAUGAGAGAAUGAGUCCGAAAAAAAUAACAUAAUAUCAGUCGGCGGUGAACGAAGAUUUGAGCAAUUGUUGCGACAUUGUAGUUUGCGUCUAUAAAUGCCAUUGUGUGAACUAAUGCUAGUUGGAGGCCGCCAUUUUUCAAGAGCAUGAAUUUCCAAUGUAACAACUGUCACUGUGUACAGAAUAUUUUUUUCAAUGCUCUGAUACGAGAUUUAACAUGUAUACAAUAAAAAGGGUGUUGAGAAUAUCAAUGAUUAUUUUGCAGUGUGUAUUUUGCACAUCUUCUGCCACUAAUAAUGCAAUGAUGAGAGUAAACAUGAGAAAAGUUUAUUAAGUUCGUGUUUACAAAUGUGUUAACCUGAUACAGUUAUAACUUUUCAGAAACGCCAUCAACUUUAACAUAACUUUACCAUAUCAUCCCACAUGUGACGUCCAGCUAAAUAACUGCAAUAACUGAAAUUGUUUUAGCAAAUAAUAAAAUGAAUGGAAUGAUGAAUAUACCGGAAGAGAACACAUCCUUUAUGCUGGAGCAAGGUUGCCAGAUGGUCUUAAAAACGGACAAUCCGCGAACAAAAAA